AGAGUUUGAUCCUGGCUCAGGAUGAACGCUGGCGGCAUGCCUAAUACAUGCAAGUCGAACGAACUAGUUUACUAGUUAGUGGCGAACGGGUGAGUAACGCGUGGGGAACCUGCCUUUAAGACGAGAAUAACUAUUGGAAACGAUAGCUAAUACUGGAUAGGAUAUAUUAUCACAUGAUUUUAUAUUUAAAGGUUUAAAACACUUAAAGAGGGUCCCGCGUCGCAUUAGCUAGUUGGUGAGGUAACGGCUCACCAAGGCGACGAUGCGUAGCCGGGCUGAGAGGCUGAACGGCCACAUUGGGACUGAGACACGGCCCAAACUCCUACGGGAGGCAGCAGUAGGGAAUUUUCGGCAAUGGGGGAAACCCUGACCGAGCAAUGCCGCGUGAAUGAUGAAGGUUUUCGGAUUGUAAAGUUCUGUU
rnacentral:rRNA from 1 species